CGUUAAGCUAACCAGUACUAAUUGCCCGUGAGGCUUGACCCUAUAACUUUG
rnacentral:rRNA from 1 species